GGUGAACGCUGGCGGCGUGCCUAACACAUGCAAGUCGAGCGGUGCAGUUUGAAGCUUCGGUGGAAAGCUGCAUAGCGGCGGACGGGUGAGGAAAACGUAGGAACGUGCCCCUUGGAGUUGGAUAGCCACGGGAAACUGUGGGUAAACCGACAUAGACUCGAGAGAGUAAAGGCCGAAAGGCGCCAAGGGAGCGGCCUGCGGCCCAUCAGGUAGUUGGUAGUGUAAAGGACUACCAAGCCGACGACGGGUAGCCGGUCUGAGAGGAUGGCCGGCCACAAGGGCACUGAGAGACGGGCCCUACUCCUACGGGAGGCAGCAGUGGGGGAUUUUGGACAAUGGGGGAAACCCUGAUCCAGCCAUGCCGCGUGCAGGAUGAAGGCCUUCGGGUUGUAAACUGCUUUUGUACGGAACGAAAAGGUCCUUUCUAAUAAAGAGGGCUCAUGACGGUACCGUAAGAAUAAGCACCGGCUAACUACGUG
rnacentral:rRNA from 1 species